ensembl:snRNA U4 U4 spliceosomal RNA
AGCUUUGCACAGUGGCAAUGUCGUAGCCAAUGAGGUUUAUCCGAGGCGCGAUUAUUGCUAAUAGAAUAGAGGAGGCAGAAACAACUCCAAGCAAAUUCAGCUAUUUGAUCUUUGACAAAGG